rnacentral:rRNA from 1 species
GACGAACGCUGGCGGCGUGCUUAACACAUGCAAGUCGAACGGAAAGGCCUCUUUCGGGGGGUACUCGAGUGGCGAACGGGUGAGUAACACGUGAGUAACCUGCCCUUGACUUUGGGAUAACUUCAGGAAACUGGGGCUAAUACCGGAUAGGAGCUCCUGCUGCAUGGUGGGGGCUGGAAAGUUUCGGCGGUUGGGGAUGGACUCGCGGCUUAUCAGCUUGUUGGUGGGGGAGUGGCUUACCAAGGCUUUGACGGGUAGCCGGCCUGAGAGGGUGACCGGCCACAUUGGGACUGAGAUACGGCCCAGACUCCUACGGGAGGCAGCAGUGGGGAAUAUUGCACAAUGGGUGGAAGCCUGAUGCAGCAACGCCGUGUGCGGGAUGACGGCCUUCGGGUUGUAAACCGCUUUCGCUCAUGACGAAGCUUUGUGUGACGGUAGUGGGUAAAGAAGCACCGGCUAACUACGUG